GGGCGCGUAGCUCAGUUGGGAGAGCGCCUGCCUUACAAGCAGGUGGUCGGGGGUUCAAGUCCCUCCGCGCCCACCA
rnacentral:tRNA from 2 species